GAUGAACGCUGGCGGCGUGCCUAAUACAUGCAAGUCGAGCGCGAGAGUGAGGAGCUUGCUCCUCAUAAUCGAGCGGCGGACGGGUGAGUAACACGAGGGCAACCUACCCUUGAGAUUGGGAUAACUACCGGAAACGGUAGCUAAUACCGGAUACGACUUUUCCACACACGUGGAAUGGUUAAAAGGCGGAUUUAUCUGCCGCUCAUGGAUGGGCCUGCGGUGCAUUAGCUAGUUGGUGAGGUAGUGGCUCACCAAGGCGACGAUGCAUAGCCGACCUGAAAGGGUGAUCGGCCACACUGGGACUGAGACACGGCCCAGACUCCUACGGGAGGCAGCAGUAGGGAAUCUUCCGCAAUGGACGCAAGUCUGACGGAGCAACGCCGCGUGAGUGAUGAAGGGUUUCGGCUCGUAAAACUCUGUUGUUAAGGAAGAACACUUGAGGUAGUAACUGGCCUUGAGAUGACGGUACUUAACCAGAAAGCCACGGCUAACUACGUGCCAGCCGCCGCGGUAA
rnacentral:rRNA from 1 species